AAAAACAUAGUUUUUUGGAAAUAUAAAAGAUGAUGUCUGCCCAAUGAAAUUUUAAUGGCCAUAGUAUUUAUGACUAUGCAAAGGUAGCAUAAUCAUUUGUCUUGUAAAUUAAGACUGGAAUGAAUGGAAAAAUGAGGCAGUUCUUUCUUAAGUUAAAUUUUAAAAUUAAUUUUUUUAGUGAAGAAACUAAAAUGUUAGUGAGGGACGAGAAGACCCUAUUAAGCUUUAUAAAAUUAUUAUAUUGGGGAAAUAAAAGAAGAUAAUUUCUUUAUUAUUAGUUAUUGAUGAAUAAUGAUUUAUUUUUAGUAAUAAUAGAUUAAGUUACUAUAGGGAUAACAGCAUAAUUUUUUUUAAAAGUUCUUAUUGACAAAUAAGAUUAUGACCUCGAUGUUGGAUUAUAAAUAUUAUAUGAUGUAGUUAUUGUAUAAAUUAGUCUGUUCGACUAUUAAAUUUUUACAUGAUCUGA
rnacentral:rRNA from 1 species